AGCCUGAUGGUGUAUUCACAUCAAAUUGCAAAUUUGAAGAUGCAGGCUAAUCCCCUGCUCCGGCUU
rnacentral:tRNA from 1 species